CCUACGGGAGGCAGCAGUGGGGAAUAUUGCACAAUGGGGGAAACCCUGAUGCAGCGACGCCGCGUGAGUGAAGAAGUCUUUCGGUAUGUAAAGCUCUAUCAUCAGGGACGAAGAAAGACGGUAACUGACUAAGAAACGCCGGCGAACUCAGUGCCAGCAGCCGCGGUAUUACGUAGGGGGCACGCGUUAUCCGGAGUUACUGGGUGUAAAGGGGGCGUAGACGGCAGUGCAAGUCUGAAGUGAAAACCCAGGGCUCAACCCUGGGACUGCUUUGGAAACUGUGGAGCUAGAGUGCUGGAGAGGUAAGUGGAAUUCCGAGUGUAGCGGUGAAAUGCGUAGAUAUUAGGAGGAACACCAGUGGCGAAGGCGGCUUACUGGACAGUAACUGACGUUGAGGCGCGAAAGCGUGGGGAGCAAACAGGAUUAGAUACCCGAGUAGUC
rnacentral:rRNA from 1 species